rnacentral:lncRNA from 1 species
AGAUUGGAAACAAAUAAAUAUUAAGAUAUGAUCAUAAACAAAUAUUGAGAACCAAAGAGACAAACUGCUAUUUUUUAUACAUAGAUCAAGGUUUGACAAACUUCACACAGAGGUAGACAAACUAUUACAUAGACCAAAAUUUUGACAAUACAGAGAGAUUUUUCACUCAGGUCUGAUCCUUGCAAGAAGAUAUAUGAGUAAAGGUCCGAAAGAGAACCAUAAAAUAUCGGGUCAGUAUCAAAAAACCAUGAGCUGUUGAAAAUUUUGUUCAAGUGUGUUUGGAUUUCUUGUGUUCCUUGUGGUCUGCAGCAAAAAUUUUGCCUGCUGUGAAAGGGGAGUCUGGACGCAUGAGAUUGUAUUCAGUGGUUCUUAUCUCAAACUUUUGUUUUUUCCCAACAAUCUUUUCUAGUUCUUCCUUUAGUAAAAUUUCUCCAUUUUCCUGUGUAUAUUUAGGCAAUAGUGUUAGUAAAGUAUUGCUGAAAGGAAUAGAGUUUUGUAGUGAUAAACUGUACUGUGGAAAAAAAUUGGGGGGAGGGGGGGAGAGGAGGAGGAAAACAGUACCUGAAGACUCAAAGUCAGUAAAGCAUCAAAUUUUAAAUCGAGAAGGAAUUCAGCCUGUUCUUCAAAUGCAGUUAUCUCUUUAGUUCCUGUUGGGUCUUCAAGUUCGAAAUGUAUGCUUAACCUGGAAAAGGAAAUGAUUGAAUUAGAAUAUGCUGAUAGUUGGGAAGGGAAGAAUAGUAAUGAGUCUAAUGGAAGAACAAUGUGAACCUGAGAAUUGGAUCCUCAACUGCUUUGUUACAUCUGUAGCACCAAUAUGUAGCUCCUUUUCUGGCUAGUCCUUUAGUUCAUUUCUUGCAAGUGUUGUAACAAAAACCUUCUGUGUGAUGCACUUUUGUGAUUGUUGCCAGACAAAUACUGUUAAAUGGCUGUACAGAAAGAAUAAAUUUGUUAAUAUUCAUAUGAAAUUUCUUUUAAGUAUGAGCAAGGAUACAGAGACUGUAGACAUCAUGAGUACAAAGUUAGGUACCUUAUGUGCUUCUUUUGUGAACGCAAGGAUUUCGCUGAUUUGUUUUGGGGUAUUUUGCUGAAACUUUCUUUUCAAAAGUGGAUUCUUGAUGCUGAAAUUUGUUGCGAAUGAUGUUGUAAGAUUAUAUGAAAUAGAGUAUAUUUGUGUAUUAAAGAGGAUAAUGAGUUUUAUGAUGUGUACCUUUCUUUCAAAGUGGCAGUUUCUGGUACAUCCAUAUUUGUAUAAAUUUGGGAAGCGAAGGUUGCCUGAAGAUACAAAGCAUCUGAAAGUAGAUUGGAAAUGAAUUAGUCAGUAGGUAAUGUUUAGUAGUGAGUGUAGUGACAUUACCAUCGAAUUUUUUUGCCAUGGUUGAUGUCACAACUUAGUGUAUUUAUCUGCUGAAGUUGACUGUAUUGUUGUUAGUUGUUCAAUGCAUUUCCCCCAGAAAGC